AGGCUCCUAAGAUUGUAGGAACUAAUAGUGAUCGUUCAUGCAAUUAGGAGCUUGAUGCAUAAGGAUUCCUACCAUAUAUGAGUAUGAAAUUAGAGAUAUUGUAGUCUUUUUUAUGCCAUAGCCUUUCAUGCUCUUUGUUGAUUUGUUCUACUUCUUUUAUUGUAUACUUGGCUUCUAUAAGAUCUUUAGGAUGUACAUAGAGGAUUUCUUCAAUAGUUUCCUCUUUGGCAAAUCCUUGAAUGAAGAAAUGUUUCAAGAUAUCAUUAAUGAACAAUUUUUUUUUUAA
rnacentral:lncRNA from 1 species